rnacentral:rRNA from 1 species
UACGGAGGGUGCUAGCGUUGUUCGGAAUUACUGGGCGUAAAGCGCACGUAGGCGGCUUUGUAAGUUAGAGGUGAAAGCCCGGGGCUCAACUCCGGAACUGCCUUUAAGACUGCAUCGCUUGAAUCCAGGAGAGGUGAGUGGAAUUCCGAGUGUAGAGGUGAAAUUCGUAGAUAUUCGGAAGAACACCAGUGGCGAAGGCGGCUCACUGGACUGGUAUUGACGUUGAGGUGCGAAAGCGUGGGGAGCAAACGGG